GACGAACUGCUGGCGGCGUGCCUAAUACAUGCAAGUCGAGCGAAGUUUUUCUGGUGCUUGCACUAGAAAAACUUAGCGGCGAACGGGUGAGUAACACGUAAAGAACCUGCCUCAUAGACUGGGACAACUAUUGGAAACGAUAGCUAAUACCGGAUAACAGUAUUUCUCGCAUGAGAGAUAUUUAAAAGUUGGUUAUGCUAACACUAUGAGAUGGCUUUGCGGUGCAUUAGCUAGUUGGUGGGGUAAAGGCCCACCAAGGCGACGAUGCAUAGCCGACCUGAGAGGGUGAUCGGCCACACUGGGACUGAGACACGGCCCAGACUCCUACGGGAGGCAGCAGUAGGGAAUCCUCCGCAAUGGGCGAAAGCCUGACGGAGCAACGCCGCGUGAGUGAAGAAGGAUUUCGGUUCGUAAAGCUCUGUUGUUAGGGAAGAAUGGAUAUGUAGUAACUAUACAUGUAAGAGACGGUACCUAACCAGAAAGCCACGGCUAACUACGUGCCAGCAGCCGCGGUAAUACGUAGGUGGCAAGCGUUGUCCGGAAUUAUUGGGCGUAAAGCGCGCGCAGGUGGUUUAAUAAGUCUGAUGUGAAAGCCCACGGCUCAACCGUGGAGGGUCAUUGGAAACUGUUAAACUUGAGUGCGGGAGAGAAAAGUGGAAUUCCUAGUGUAGCGGUGAAAUGCGUAGAGAUUAGGAGGAACACCAGUGGCGAAGGCGGCUUUUUGGCCUGUAACUGACACUGAGGCGCGAAAGCGUGGGGAGCAAACAGGAUUAGAUACCCUGGUAGUCCACGCCGUAAACGAUGAGUGCUAAGUGUUGGUCUCAUAAGAGAUCAGUGCUGCAGCUAACGGCAUUAACCACUCCGCCUGGGGAGUACGACCGCAAGGUUGAAACUCAAAUGAAUUGACGGGGACCCGCACAAGCGGCGGAGCAUGUGGUUUAAUUCGAAGCAACGCGAAGAACCUUACCAAGUCUUGACAUACUGUGAGGACACAAGAGACUGUGUUGCUCUGACCAUUGGUUAGACACAGAUACAGGUGGUGCAUGGUUGUCGUCACCUCGUGUGCUGAGAUGUUGGGUUAACUCCCGCAACCAGCGCAGCCCUUAUAUCUAGUUGCCACCAGUAAGAUGGGGACUCUUCAUAUACUGCCAGUGAUAAACUGGAGGAAGGUGGGGAUGACGUCAAAUCAUCAUGCCUCGUUAUGAUUGCGUCACCCACGUGCUACAAUGCACAAUACACAAGGCUGCUGACUCGCGCAGUGUCAACAAACCCCCUACAGUUGUCCUUUGUCCGUGUUGGAGUCUGCCCCUCCACUUCCUUAACCCUGGAACCGGAAGUAA
rnacentral:rRNA from 1 species